GACGAACGCUGGCGGCGUGCUUAACACAUGCAAGUCGAACGGAAAGGCCUGCUUUCCCUUGUGGAUUGCGGGUACUCGAGUGGCGAACGGGUGAGUAACACGUGAGUGAUCUGCCCCCAACUUGGGUAUAAGCCUGGGAAACUGGGUCUAAUUCCCGAUAGGACUGCAGGGUGGUGCCUGUGGUGGAAAACGAUUUUCUAGUGGUUGGGGAUGAGCUCGCGGCCUAUCAGCUUGUUGGUGGGGUAAUGGCCUACCAAGGCGGCGACGGGUAGCCGGCCUGGGAGGGUGGACGGCCACAUUGGGACGGAGAUACGGCCCAGACUCCUACGGGAGGAAGCAGUGGGGAAUAUUGCACAAUGGGCGGAAGCCUGAUGCAGCGAGGCGGCGUGGGGGAUGACGGCCUUCGGGUUGUAAACUCCUUUCGACCGCGAGGAAGCCACCUGGUUGGAAGGGUGGUGACGGUAGUGGUAGAAGAAGCACCGGCUAACUACGUG
rnacentral:rRNA from 1 species